CAGAUCGUCUUGGUUAAACUACUUUGCCCCAUGUGCUCCUGUCUAUCUUGUCUCUCACUGAGUGUCGUUCCCCAACGCCAGAGAGACGACUUCACCAUUUGUACGCUGUACCCAUCAACACAUGGACCGGGACCAACCACUUUACUUCCAUUCCGAAGAAAGAAGUCACCCGAAACAGUUUUUGCCUCAGAAAAUUUCAACGAUCUCUGCUGGGAUUGAACACAGAACCACUAGGCAUUCGCGCCAGUGCCCAGAGUGCACGCUGCUCUGAAAAUCUAGCGAAAUUGUCUUAGGGCACCAGCGGGUGCUCGUUCAGUUAGCCAUUUGCGCGACUUCCGGAGGGUUAAAGGGGGCGUCUGGUGUAAAGUGCUC